UUCUAGAUUACAGACAGUGAACUUAACUAUCUUCCAAUUAUACUGAUGUUUGCAUAGGCUCGUGUUUAAACAUAGACAGACGACAAGUUUGUGGUGCUUGUAAUUCUAGAUUACAGACAGUGAACUUAGCUAUCUUCCAAUUAUGCAUUCAAGGUUUGCCAUUUCCACUUAGCAUCAGACUUUGUUCUCUUGUUUUGGAAUAGUAACCGAAACAUUGUAUCAUUUCAGGUCAUGAAUACAAUGCAACAGGUUCUGGAGAAGAAACUGAUAUACGUGUAGAACCAUCAUCAACCUGUCCGAUGCUGUAGUGUAUCCAGCCUCGUUAAUUAGAAUACGUCUUGCAGCAUUCCCAUAUUUCCACUAGAAAAAUUUCGGUGGAAUUGAAAUCUAUAGAGAUACAUGUCGAACCAUCUUCGAACUGUUUUCAGAUUUCCUUUCGUCAUUGCAUGUUUACUGAAAAGCAUUAUUUAACAUCAAUAAUAACGAGUCCAGCCCUUACCUUCAAUUGGCACAUUUCUUCCUUCGCUUUGGUUUUCUGUAUGCGUAUAAAAAAAUAAACGCAUUCUUUGUCCAAAUUAUCUCAUUUUUUUGUUCUUCUUCUAUUUCUUUUAUCAUAGGCAGCUGGUAAAAAUAACUGGUCUUCGGGGUCGCGGUGAACGACGCACCUGACGUCGCCGCACUUACCUGGGAUAGCCGUUCUCGAUCUAUUGUACAAGCAUCCUGAUUUUAGAUAUCCUUUCGUCUUCGACCGCCGGAAAGUGAUAUAUUUCACAGUCCAGCCCUCUCUUCCCCACGUUCGUAGGUGUUUCCUCCCUUGCCUUAUCAGAUCUUGCAUCAACCUGUCGGGAUCUUCUCCGGGUCUAGGCCGCUUAUUCAACCAACGACACUCUCUAUCUUUAUCACUUUGCCAUUU